rnacentral:rRNA from 1 species
AUUGAACGCUGGCGGCAGGCCUAACACAUGCAAGUCGAACGUGUGGCGGGCGGGUGAGUACUGUUUGGGAAAAUGCCCGAUGGAGGGGGAUCACUGCUGGAUACGGUAGCUAAUAACGUAUAAAAUCGGAUGUGCCCAGAUGGGAUUGGCUUGUAGGUGAGGUAACGGCUCACCUAGGCGACGAACCCUAGCUGGUCUGAGAGGAUGACCAGCCACACUGGAACUGAGACACGGUCCAGACUCCUACGGGAGGCAGCAGUGGGGAAUAUUGCACAAUGGGCGAAAGUCUGAUGCAGCCACGCCGCGUGUAUGAAGAAGGCCUUCGGGUUGUAAAGUUCUUUCAGCGGGGAGGCGUUACCCGCAGAAGAAGCACCGGCUAACUCCGUGCCAGCAGCCGCGGUAAUUC